UACGUAGGGGGCAAGCGUUGUCCGGAAUUAUUGGGCGUAAAGAGCUCGUAGGCGGUUUGUCGCGUCUGCCGUGAAAGUCCGGGGCUCAACUCCGGAUCUGCGGUGGGUACGGGCAGACUAGAGUGAUGUAGGGGAGACUGGAAUUCCUGGGUGUAGCGGGUGAAAUGCGCAGAUAUCAGGAGGAACACCGAUGGCGAAGGCAGGUCUCUGGGCAUUAACUGACGCUGAGGAGCGGAAAGCAUGGGGAGCGAACAGG
rnacentral:rRNA from 1 species